GACGAACGCUGGCGGCGUGCUUAACACAUGCAAGUCGAACGCUGAAGACCUGGCUUUUGUUGGGUUGGAUGAGUGGCGAACGGGUGAGUAACACGUGAGUAACCUGCCCUCUUCUUUGGGAUAACGCCCGGAAACGGGUGCUAAUACUGGAUAUUCACUGAUCUUCGCAUGGGGGUUGGUGGAAAGGUUUGUUCUGGUGGGGGAUGGGCUCGCGGCCUAUCAGCUUGUUGGUGGGGUGAUGGCCUACCAAGGCUUUGACGGGUAGCUGGCCUGAGAGGGUGACCGGUCACAUUGGGACUGAGAUACGGCCCAGACUCCUACGGGAGGCAGCAGUGGGGAAUAGUGCACAAUGGGCGAAAGCCUGAUGCAGCGACGCCGCGUGAGGGAUGGAGGCCUUCGGGUUGUAAACCUCUUUCGCUCAUGGUCAAGCCGCAACUGUGGGUUGUGGUGAGGGUAGUGGGUAAAGAAGCGCCGGCUAACUACGUG
rnacentral:rRNA from 1 species